CAGUCGCCACGGGAAUACAGAGGGUGCGAGCGUUAAUCGGAUUUACUGGGCGUAAAGCGUGCGUAGGCGGCUUCUUAAGUCGGAUGUGAAAUCCCUGAGCUUAACUUAGGAAUUGCAUUCGAUACUGGGAAGCUAGAGUAUGGGAGAGGAUGGUAGAAUUCCAGGUGUAGCGGUGAAAUGCGUAGAGAUCUGGAGGAAUACCGAUGGCGAAGGCAGCCAUCUGGCCUAAUACUGCCGCUGAGGUACGAAAGCAUGGGGAGCAAACAGGAUUAGAUACCCCUGUAGUCCCUGUCUCUUAUAC
rnacentral:rRNA from 1 species